UCUGCGUCCAUUUCGUGCAAAAAUGACUCCGACUCAGUCCGACCCUCACCAGAUGUAUCAACCAGUCACUAAUACUGUAGCAAAUCUUAUCCAAACAUCCGGAACACUACAUUUAUAAAAUUUAAAUAUUUAUAAUAUUACAAUAUUUAAAUAUUUAAAUAUUUAUGUCAUCAUGCAGACGUCAUUCUAGUGUUGUAAAUUCUUCAGGAGAAGAAGCACUUCACCAAAUUAAAAAGUGUAAGUUUUGGUUUCGAGAAACGUAUUUGGGUCAUGUGAUUUCAGAAGCUAGGAUUGGCAUGGAUUCUAAAAGAAUUGAGGAAAUGAAGGAUUGGCCUAAAUCGACCAAUGUAAUCGAUAUUCGUAAUUUUCUCGAUCUAACUAGAUAGUAUUGGCGCUCUGUUAAGGGUUUUCUAUAUAUUAUUACUAGAAUUGGGUCAAUGGGUUUCUCCAAUAAGAUUCCUAUUGGAAAAACCGUGACGAAAAAUCCGAUUGUGAUAAAAUCUAUCUAAUUUCGUGAUGAAAUUAAUAAAUUUAACUUACAGAUGAUCGCUGAAUUUCAAAAAAUUGCGGAAGAAGAUUAUCAAACAAUUCUAUCCGGAAGUGUGCAAGACACUGCCCUAAGACAUAUUCCCAUCCUACGUGUGGGAUUAACCGGAAACACCGUCCCAAGGUACGACCGAAAUUUUUCUUCCUACGAGUACGAACGCGGAAGAGAUUGACGGAGACUCUUUCAACACCCAGCGACAAAGAAAUCAAAAAAAUAGAAAAUU
rnacentral:lncRNA from 1 species